UUGAGAGAAAAGAACAUUACACCAGUGGUCUAGUCACUCUAGUGUGAUUACAUACGUACGCCUAAGCACGCCGGUGGUUAUUUUCUAAAUUCUAACACUACAAAAAUUCAAACCACAGACUCCAAGUAUUCUCUGGAGAUGAAGCACAUUACGAGAAAGCCAAGGACUCUAAACGUUGGAAGCUCAAACUCGACUCGCUCAGAAGGUGUUCGACAUAAUGCCUGAGAGAGGAAGCAACCAACAAAUAGCACCAAGAAGUGAGUUCUUUUUUCCAAUUGAAUGCUGAAACUAAAAUGUUGAGGUAGAGAGAAUGAGAAUGGGGUAGCUUUGAAAUUGAAAAGGGUAAUGACUAAUGAAGGAGUUUUAAGAGAAAGUGGCAUCUGCCGGGUUGUGCUGGAAUUUUCUUGGCAUGAAAAGGCAGACAAGGUAAGGAUCCGUAUGACUAUAAAUGCAUUUAGAGGUGAAGUUUUUUAAAGCAGGAAUGUCGGUAGUUUCUAGAGGGAUUAUGUUGAUAUCUGAUAUAAGCAUAAUAUGAUCACAAAACAAGUCACAGACUCGAAAUAUUGGGAGGACUCGAAUCCGAGUCGAUUGGAAGGUGUUUGGCGUAAUGCCUGAGAGAGAAAGCAACCAAGAAAUUAAAGAGGGGUAGUGUAGGAUGUGCUGGAAUCUACUUGGAAAUGUGAUGGCAUGGCAGACGAGGUAAAGAUGUUCCUCUAUCUCCAUCUAUCAAUAGGACUACUAAUACAUUUAAAAUUUUUAUUAUUUUUUUUCAAAGAAGAUCAAAGGAUUUCACUCCUACCUCCAUGGUAACUCGAACCCAGGAUCUUGAUCUUAGGUAGUGGGUGAAAAUGGAAAAGAAAGCAUCUUUUUUGUUUCAAUUGUUUGAGUGGAAGUAGUAGUUAUUUUGGAAAAAGCUUUUAAAAGCAGGACCGUUGGCUGGUUGAGAUGCGUGAUUAGGUUGAGUUUGGCUAUGAUUAGCAUAAUUUAAUCACAAACAUAAGAGAAUCUGUAAAGAUUAGUCUUCGCAUUCAAACUUGUUUAAGUGUGGGGAAGCUGCCUAUUAUUCAGCUAGUUGAGGAUGUAUUCUAAUUAGACAUUUGAGUUUGAAGGGGGGUUGUUAAUGUAAUGAAGCCUCAACAACUUGGUUUAAUUUGGAGCCAAAUCAUAGAGAAUCAGUUUAGUUACUCAGACUCAGAGUCGAAGGCCAAGUAAUUCCUGGCCAAGACCAAGUAGUCAUUGGUAACCAAGGAAGUUUCGGAUUGUCAUAUUGCUACUUAGCUUUUGCUAGAAUACAAUCAUUACGUAUGAAUGCACUUAUAUCAUCUUUACAGUCAUGUUAAACAUACAGAGCACCCUCCAUUUUUUGAAGUUGGUGAAAGCUAACUGGAAAGAGGAGAUGGGGUCUUUAGUCAACAUGGUGGCCUGAAUUGCUUUCUUUUUGAAUAAUUGAAAGAUAUUUCGCCGAAAGUGCUGGGAAACUUUCCCUUUCUGCUUUUUACCUCUUUAUACUUUCCUGAAGAAUGUGUGGAUUGCUUCAUAUUAUUGUUCUUUCAUCCUGGUGAAGAAUGAAAGUUUAUUCAACAUAGAUAUAGAAAGUUGUUGCGGGUUGAUAAUUAAAGAGCUGAAAAACUGAUUGGGAAGUGUCUGUUGAUAUAUGUAUAUGUACUCAACCAAGUUCUAAACAGGUUUGCUUCUUUCAACUUAUUGAUCUUCAGGCUAUAAUAUGGCUGCUGCUUCUUCUUGCCCUGCUAUCAUCCCUUGGGAGAAGCAUGAUGUAUUUCUUAGUUUCAGAGGCGAGGACACCCGGGAUACUUUUACCAGCCAUCUUUAUGAGGCUUUAUGUCAGAAAAAAAUCCAAACUUGCAUAGAUUACAAACUGGAGAGAGGAGAUGAAAUCGCACCUGCCCUUCUCGAAGCAGUCAGUGAAUUGAAGCUUUCGGUUAUCAUUUUCUCCAAAAACUAUGCUUCUUCUACAUGGUGCUUGGAUGAACUUGUGCACAUACUCUGAUGCAGAGGUGAACAGUUUGUUAUACCCAUCUUCUACGGCAUAGAUCCAUCAGUUGUAUGCAAACAAUCGGGGAGUUAUGCAGAUGCAUUUGUUCAACAUGAGGAAUGUUUCAAGGACACGGAGGAGGACAAGGUACUCGCAUGGAGAGUUGCUUUGAAAACAGCAGCGGAUAUAUCUGGAUUUGAUUCGCAAACAAUUAGGUAACUCAAUCUGUAACUCAUGGGUCCAUUUGUGACUUCUAUUAUGGCUAUGAUUGUUAUUGCAUCACUUACUAACUACUUUGUCUUUCAUUUGUAUAUGGCAGACCCGAGUCUGAAUUAGUUAAGACUCUGGUCAAUGACAUUUUGAGGAAAUUGAAUCGCAAAUUGCAAAUCGAAAGGGCUUUAGAGGGCUUGGUUGGAAUGGGAAAACACAUUCAACAAGUUGAAUUUUUAUUAUGCCUGGAGUCACCGUGUGUCCGGAGCAAAUUUAGAGGGCAGUUAAACCAUCAGGUCCCAGCCUGAUAAAUUUCUAAAUCUGAGACAGGAGCAAUAAACGAGUUGUUAUCAAUUAGAGAAAUAUAAGGGGUAAUAGUAGAAGUAAAAAGUGAGAAAUCAGAGGGGCUAGGAAAAAAAAAGUUGGAGUGAAACAUCUCUUAAAAGCUGAAGUGAUAGUAUGGGAAAUUUGAGCCAAAUCCGAAAUAACAAGGCAUGAAUCAUCAUUAAUAUGUGAAAUAUGUUUCUGUUUCCUGCGAACAAGAGCCUGAGUUUGAAAAUAAGUCGUGUUUUUAUCUCCCAAUUGAAGCCAAUUAGUAUGGGCUCUUUGUUUCCAA